AGUUUGAUCAUGGCUCAGAACGAACGCUGGCGGCAUGCUUAACACAUGCAAGUCGAACGGGGUGUGAUUACUUUGUGAUUGCACUUAGGUGGCAGACGGGUGAGUAACGCGUGGGAACGUACCUUCAAGUCUUGGAUAACUAUUGGAAACGAUGGCUAAUACGGGAUGUGACCGAGAGGUUAAAGGUUUACUGCUUGAAGAGCGGCCCGCGUUAGAUUAGGUAGUUGGUGUGGUAAAGGCGCACCAAGCCGAUGAUCUAUAGCUGGUCUGAGAGGAUGAUCAGCCACACUGGGACUGAGACACCGGCCCAGACUCCUACGGGGAGGCAGCAGGUGGGGAAUAUUGGACAAUGGGGGCAACCCUGAUCCAGCAAUGCCGCGUGAAUGAAGAAGGCCUUAGGGUUGUAAAGUUCUUUUGUUAGAGAAGAUAAUGACGUUAUUUAACGAAUAAGCACCGGCUAACUUCGUG
rnacentral:rRNA from 1 species